GACGAACGCUGGCGGCGUGCCUAAUACAUGCAAGUCGAACGCAGUGGGGACGGUUUAGUAACACGUGGGUAACCUCCCAUCAGAGGGGAUAACACUUGGAAACAGGUGCUAAACCGAUACUGAUGGAUGGACCCGCGGUGCAUUAGCGAGUUGGUGAGGUAACGGCUCACCAAGGCCACGAUGCCUAGCUGGCCGGAGAGGUUGAUCGGCCACACUGGGACUGAGACACGGCCCAGACUCCUACGGGAGGCAGCAGUAGGGAAUAUUGGGCAAUGGACGAAAGUCUGACCGAGCAACGCCGCGUGAGUGAAGAAGGUUUUCGGAUUGUAAAGCUCUGUUGUUAGAGAAGCGGUAUCUAACCAGAAAGCAACGGCUAACUACGUGCCAGCAGCCGCGGUAAUUC
rnacentral:rRNA from 1 species